ensembl:lncRNA
AUUUAGGAACCCCAAGUACUUUUAAAAUAUAAUUUUAAACAGAUUUACACAUAUUAUUUUAUGAUUGGUAUUUACUGACAGUCCAAAGGCAGUCUUUUGUGGGUCUUUUUCUAUUCUGCCAUCUCUCCUGCAACACAUUAAGUGUGUUUUCUGCUAGGGGUGGAACGGUUCAACUUCUCACGGUUUUAUAGUCACGGUUUCGGUAUGUGCUAUGUUUAUGGAAAAACUAUACUUUCAAAUAAAAAUAAAGAAAAAAAGUAGCAAAAGCUAUUCAAUCAAGAGCAGUGAGGGAUUUAUUUAUUGUUGGUUUUCGAUUAAUAUUAAGACUUCAAGAGAAUGCACUGAUCCAGUGCACUGAUCCAGUACGUUCAGCCGGCUAUGUCUGCUAUAGGAUACUUACCAAGACGGUCAUUUUGACAUAAUUUUUGUGUGAAUUUGUCCACUCAAACACAAUACUCCAGAGAGAGAUUAAUAUUUUCGCGUGUUCUGAGACGCGGGUUUGCGCGCUUCGGAUGAGCGCAUGCACAAAUCUUCUCACUGCUCGCGCAAGCUCGCGUCCUCUGGCUCUAAAAUGUUUAAACUGGCAAAGCUUAAAUGAGUUUAGUUUAAACACAGAUAUCAACGUGUGCUGUUCAGGACUCACCUAUCAGCACCCGGGUGAUGACGAAAUACUGCUCAUAUUCCAGCACACGGCAUUCGCAUUGAACAGGAGUGAAUGUUGCAGCAAUCUACACACACGUGCUUCCAGAUGAACCUGAGAAGUCAGUGAAGAGCCAGAUGAUGUUGGAGGGAGAUUUGAGAAGGCUUAUCUUUGGAUAGAUCGGGGAGCAGGCUGCAGCUGCGCUGAAAUGAUUUAUAUGGUCAGAAACACACAUGCUCUCUCUUUCUCUCGCAAACACACAUUUUCAAUGCUGCUGUAUCCCCGUCCUUCACACUCACUCAUUCUUACUCUUUCACAUGUUUACUAGCAACGUUAUUUUGAAUGCAUGCUCUUCUUGCUCUCCAAACAUGCUCUCAACACCUUGGAUAUGGCCAGGCACACACAUGCUCUCGAGUUCUGAUGUAUCUGGCUCAGGCUGGCUGUGAAAAGUAGUUGUGGUCACUGAUGAAUCUUUAAAAACACCACCAGUACACUGGCUGUGCAAGAGCGACCCAACAACUCCUUCACACCAAAGUCCUCUAAUACCAUAGUGAUGCAUGCUAGCUGCUCCAAUAAAACAUUAAAAUUUCUGUUUUUAGUUGAACUUUUGAGCACCACUAUUAUUAUUGUUCAUACUUUUGGUUAGGGAUAUAAACAAAACUUUUAUCCUUAAAUUUGGGUGUGUAACUCAUUCCUCAACUUUUGUUCUGC